rnacentral:rRNA from 1 species
UGACGUGUACGCUAGUCUUGAAGACUUAGCCAUGCAAGCCGGCGAAGCCAAGUGCGGAGCGGCGGACAGCUCAGUAAUACAGUUAUAAUUUACUCGCAGUGUGAAUGUGAAUAACCAUGGUAAGCUAUGGCUAAUACAUGAACGUGUUGCGCAAACGGUGAGACGCGUGCAACGGACAAUUGACUGCGACUAAGUUUCUGGCCUAUUAGCUUGUAUGUACGGUAAAGGCGUACAUUGGCGAUGAUGGGUAACGGGGGAUCAGUGUCUGAUACCGGAGAGGGAGCCUGAGAAACAGCUCCCACGUCUAAGGAUGGCAGCAGGCGCGAAACUUACCCAAUUCCUUAGCGGGAGAGGUAGUGAAGAGACGUGAGUUGUAUGACUACAGACCGGAUUGUAAAUGCAUCUGGGAACGAUUGGGGGGCAAGUCUGGUGCCAGCAGCCGCGGUAAUUCCAGCUCCAAGAGCGUAUAUAUUUAUUGCUGCAGUUAAAAAGUCCGUAGUUGACCGCUUGUACACUGUGAGGAAAUUACGGUUCUCAAAGCAGAUUUCGUGAGUACUCGAGCAUGGGACGUAGCGGAGAAAGGAACAGAUGAUGGCGACAGUAUUCGGCAGUUAGAGGUGAAAAUCGAUGACCUGCUGAGGACUACCUGAAGCGAAGGCGGUUGUCAAGGAUGUAUCCGUUGAUCAAGGACUUAAGCCGGAGGAUCGAAGAUGAU